GCCAGGUGUGGUGGCGCUUGCCUGUAAUCCCAGCUACUUGGGAGGCUGAGGCAGGAGAAUCGCUUGAACCCAGGAGGCGGAGGUUGCAGUGAGCCGAGAUCACGCCACUGCACUCUAGCCUGGGUGACAGAGUGAGACUCUUUCUCAA
rnacentral:SRP_RNA from 1 species